UCUAGACAUCACAACGAGCCCAACACAAUGAAAAUCACUCAAAGUGAAGCUAAAGCAAGCAAGAACGGACCAAGAAACGUUAGAGUGGCAUUUUUUAAAUAAUCAAAAGAAAAGCGCCACAAUACCAAAGGAUGGCACUUGAAGGCAAUACCCAUAAAAACACGAAGUGUCGCGACACCCAAGUCAAGGGCCGUAGAUGUAUUCAAAAAGAAUGAAGAUAAGGGUAAAAAGUGAGUUUAAUUUGAAGGAAGGGGCAUUAUGGUCAUUUUCUAUUUAUUAUUACUUUUUUAAAAAGAAAGAAAUCGGGAAAUUCUUUCGAGCACGUAACCCCUCUUCUCGAAUCUUUUCCCUUCAUCGGCUCCUUCCUCUCGUUGUCAUCUCUCCCUAUCUCUCUGUCAUUCUCUUCCGCUCACCAUCCCUCUCCAUCACCAUUGCUAAGUUGCACAUCCGCUCAUUGACGUCCCGUGAACACCAUCAUUGCCACCGUGCCAUUGUUGUCCUGCUUACCUUGUACCAUAUCUUAAAAUGUCACGCCAUCACCCAACCAACCGAAGAUCAAGUUAGCCACGGUGUCCAUGUUUCUUUCAAAUCCACCACUUAGAGUAAGAUUCUCAAGAUUUGAAUUUUAGAAUAGCUAACCGAUGGUCGGUGGGUCUAUGUGCACAUAUGAGCAUGGUUGAAUCAAGGUUGUUACUGUAGAAGGUACUAAAUAUGCAUGAGCUCAGUUUGGUUCUGUUUUUCCAUGUGGAUAUGGGUCACGUGUGGACUAUUUUGGGUCAUUUAUUUAAUAUUCUACCAUGGUUGGAUUGAGUACAGGUUUGUAGGCAUUACUUUUGAUUUAUAGUAUUAUGUGAUGAUAACGUUUUAAUUAUUAUUUCAUUAUCGAUGCAUAUUUACACAUUUUUUAGAGCAUGUUUUACGAGCUUUUACUUCUAAAAAUUUUCCACUCACUGGGUUGGAUUGGGUGGAGGUUGUUACUGUGUAAGGUUCUUGAAGCUCAUUAAGAGCUCAAUGACUAUUGCUGAAUAUAAGAAGAAGUAUAGAGAACUAUCUAAGUACGCCACUAGUGUGAUUGAGGAUGAGGAUGAAAGGUGCAAGCGAUUUGAAGAAGGAUUACGAGAGGAUAUUCGUACUCCUAUAAUAGCUUGUGCAUAGUGGAUUGAUUUCUCCAAAUUAGUAGAGACGACUGCUUGUCGUGCCAACCCAACGGUACCAAAAACUUAGACUUGUUGCCAGCUAAUUUAGCUUUGGAGCUUAAGAGAAUCAUGUUGUUGCUUACGUUGGUAUUUAAAUCUACUUGAAGAGUCAUUAAUCAUGGUCAUUGCAUAGAUACUCUCUAUGUAUCUCUUCAUCAUGUAACUUCUAAGUCCUCGUUGAGUGCAAAUUUUUCUGUUGCUUGUCCAAGUGUGAGCGAAACAAUAGGUUUAUAUGAGUGAUCCAGAGUUGAACACAGAGAAUUGAUAUCAAAACUUAGAUCUAGGAUUCACUAGGGGUUUAGGCAAUAUAAAAUGAAUAACCUAUACAGUGUGAAAGAAUGUAAAUUUAACUCUGUCUACUUAUCUACACUAGAGAAUCUGUAAAGAAAAAUUAAGAUGGAUGCGAGAUGAAAUUGUGAACUAACUUGUAUAAAAGAAGGGGGUGAAGGAAAGUCUGUGCAUUACCAGGCGAUUAAGCAAUAAGAGAAUCUUGAUGCGAUAUAACUAAGUUGACCAGCUUAUGACGAAGGCGAGCACCUCUUGGUGUCUUCAAACGUCACACUUGCUCACCUCUCGGGAUCCAAAUGACCAAGCUGUCUUAAACUAGUUAUACCUAGAACGCUUCACUUACAAGACUUAUAGAGCUUCUCAUUUAAGGGUGACAACCUCUAGACACCUAAUACCCAUACUUGUUCUCCUUUGGAGACAUAAAUGAUGGAAGUUAUCUCACCAAGGUGGAGUUUGUCUCCAAGCUCCUCCUCGCGUGUUAGCCAUAUCCUUGCUACUUACCUUCUUUGGUAGAUGGCGAUAUACACU